rnacentral:rRNA from 1 species
GAGUUAUCUGAACCUUCGGGGAACGAUAACGGCGUCGAGCGGCGGACGGGUGAGUAAUGCCUAGGAAAUUGCCCUGAUGUGGGGGAUAACCAUUGGAAACGAUGGCUAAUACCGCAUGAUGCCUACGGGCCAAAGAGGGGGACCUUCGGGCCUCUCGCGUCAGGAUAUGCCUAGGUGGGAUUAGCUAGUUGGUGAGGUAAGGGCUCACCAAGGCGACGAUCCCUAGCUGGUCUGAGAGGAUGAUCAGCCACACUGGAACUGAGACACGGUCCAGACUCCUACGGGAGGCAGCAGUGGGGAAUAUUGCACAAUGGGCGCAAGCCUGAUGCAGCCAUGCCGCGUGUGUGAAGAAGGCCUUCGGGUUGUAAAGCACUUUCAGUCGUGAGGAAGGCGGCGUCGUUAAUAGCGGCGUUGUUUGACGUUAGCGACAGAAGAAGCACCGGCUAACUCCGUGCCAGCAGCCGCGGUAAUACGGAGGGUGCGAGCGUUAAUCGGAAUUACUGGGCGUAAAGCGCAUGCAGGUGGUUUGUUAAGUCAGAUGUGAAAGCCCGGGGCUCAACCUCGGAAUAGCAUUUGAAACUGGCAGACUAGAGUACUGUAGAGGGGGGUAGAAUUUCAGGUGUAGCGGUGAAAUGCGUAGAGAUCU